CCCGCCCCUCCGCUGCGUGCCGCCACCACCGGCUCGCGCUCCUUCGCCGCGCGCCGCCCUGGUCGCCGCCACCGGCCUUUCAUCGCCUCAACGCCCGACGCCUGAAUCUCGCAGGCUCGCCGCACACGUGCUCCCUUGCCAAGUUCGUCCAGGCGGCCGCCAUACUCGUCGCCAUUGCCGAAUUCCCCUACGGCGCCAAUCUCAAGAGCCCCGAAAACUUCUUUGACAACUUGAUUCCGUGCAUCUCGGCUCGAUUACUUCAAUGAGGAGGAAGAUGACGACGUGGCGGAGCUCCUGGACACGGCCGCCUGACCCGGGGACGGCGGGGAGGUCUUCAGCGACGGUGGCCUCUGGUGCAUGCGGAGGUCUAUGUGGAGGCGGAAAUUUAAUUCGACCUCACCUUGGGCUGCCGUCCUCCCCAAGUUCCUGCUGCCGGCGGCCUCCCGAAGCUCCAGCCCACCUCCUCCCCGAGCCCCAAGCACGAACAAGGUACCGUGCUGCACACCUGAAAGUCACCCAGCUACUCCCUGUAAGCCAAAUCCCCUUUUGAAAUUGAGCAGUUGAGCAAAUUAACUAGGAAACCUUGACACACGCUUGCGUCCAGUAGCUCGAUCUGCUGAUGCUAGGAGGGGAUUACCAUUAGAGCUGCAGCCGGUGCUGAGCACUCAUAGUUUCAGAUCUAUUGAUUGAUUCUUGACAUCAACGCACUGAAUGGGCUCAGAAACGGAGAAGUGCCAUGGUGUACUGUGGGUUUCAGCCUUUCUGGAGAUGCAUAGUUCAACAAUAUUCUGUAUUAUUGGAGCAAGCUUUUCAUCCAUAAAUUCUAAGGCUGUCCUUUUGGUCUCCAAACAUCAACAAUCAAUUUUUUCGUCUAUAGAUUAUUGAGCAUAUGACGGGUAUAUGAUGAAAUACACGCGAGGCAGGAGUGCAGCGCCUGACGAUGGCCGUGUGUUUCUCCGCAUCUACAUACAGGCUCCUGGAUCAAUCCGGCAAAUACACAAUACGUGCAUGGGUCGAUUGAGAGCUCCCGCAUCUUACAUGCCAGAUCACACUCCAACCAAUACACGAUGGAACAUCCAGUGGAGAAGAAGGUGAUCAGUUGGUUCAUGCGGAGCAACUCUUCACGUUCAGUUCCUCAAUACAGUUUCUACAGUGAUCAGGGACCGUUGUGUCAGCGGAUAGCGCGGGCCAGUGAUUCUCCAGGGGCUGGCGAUGCCUCUCACCUGUUCAUCUCCAUAGUCAUGCCCAAUCUUCUAGCUGUCGUUCACCAGGCUCUUCAUCGACCUCGGUGCGACCCUAUGAACCACCAGCAUAGAUAACCUAUCUACUUCCUAGAUAAUCUUUUUAUGUGCUAUUAGUUAGCUUCUCUAUAAUAUGCAUGUAUGUCUUCUUUAAGGUUCUUGUUUUGUUGAAAUUUGGUCGUUCUAGGAUAGGUUUGAUCCUCUGUUAACCAUUUAACUUAGACGAGCAAAGCUUAUCUUACUUUUUUCAAAGAACAAAAUUAUUUUACUUAAUUACUUGGUUGAAUACCAACAUGUGCAGAUAUGCUUUGAGCAGACUCAUGUACGUGUGUUCCUGGUCUGCAGGUGAAAGCUUCAGAGUCAUCUGCUGCUUCUAGGAAAUAUUGCUUUUUAGAAGUGUACCGCGUAAUCUAAGCAAAUACCAGUAUCCAUAACCUGGCAUGUACAAGGCAUCGGAUCCAAAUGAAUAUGUUAUAUGCUGACAUAUAGUAGUUUAGGAUGUAAUGGUUUGGCAUAGGAGUUUCCCAGUUUUGGUUUUAUGUUGUGUUAAUGGGUUUUGCACAAACAUAAUGGCAUAGCUCUGAAUUUGGGUCCUCGGGAUCAAAAUAUUACUGUUAUAAAC